rnacentral:lncRNA from 1 species
CAUAUAUCUUACAAUCUCCCACUUGGACGAGAUACACAUACAUAUGUACAAACCUUAGCAUUAUAUGUUACAAUAUAACCUUAUGAGCUCAAAAUUGCUGUCACAAUAAAAUUGUCAUGAACAAUCCGGUCCAUCAAUCAUACUAACAUAGGAACUAAGAGCUCUUCGUUACUCAUUCGUAACUUGAACCAACAUAGAUCACGUAU